UCUCGUUCAAAUUUAACAAGCCUUAAUC
rnacentral:sRNA from 1 species